rnacentral:SRP_RNA from 1 species
ACCGGGAGCAGUAGCACAUGCCUGUAGUCCCAGCUACUCAGGAGGCUGAAGUGGGAGGAUCGCUUGAGCCCAGGAGUUCUGGGCUGUAGCGCACUAUGCUGAUUGGGUGUCUGCACUAAGUUCGGCAUCAAUAUGGUGACCUCCCGGGAGCAGAGGACCAUAAUGUUGCCUAAGGAAGGGUGAACCAGCCCAGGUCAGAGACAGAGCAGGUCAAAACUCCCAUGCUGAUCAGUAGUGGGACUGCGCCUGUGAAUAGCCACUGCACUCCAGCCUGGGCAACAUGGCAAGACCUCAUCUCU